rnacentral:rRNA from 1 species
AACGAACGCUGGCGGCAUGCCUAACACAUGCAAGUCGAACGAGACCUUCGGGCCUAGUGGCGCACGGGUGCGUACCGCGUGGUAACUUGCCCUUAGGUUCGGAAUCACUCCCCGAAAGGGGUGCUCAGACCGGAUAAUGUCUUCCCACCAAAGAUUUAUCGCCUUUGGAUGGGCCCGCGUUGGAUUAGCUAGUUGGUAGGGUAAAAGCCUACCAAGGCGAAGAUCCAGAGCUGGUCUGAGAGGAUGAUCAGCCACACUGGAGAUGAGACACAGCCCAGACUCCUACGGAAGGGAGCAGUGGGGUAUAUUGGACGAGGGGGGAAAGUCUGAUACAGCAAUGCCGCGUGAGUGAUGAAGGGGUUAGGGAUGUAAAGCUCUUUGAGCCGAGAUGAGAAUGACAGUACCGGGAGAAUAAGCACCGGCUAACUCCGUG